rnacentral:rRNA from 1 species
AGAAUCAACGCUGGCGGCGUGCCUAACACAUGCAAGUCGCACGAGAAAGGGUAGCAAUACCUGAGUACAGUGGCGCACGGGUGAGUAACACGUGAAUCAUCUACCUCCGAGUGGGGAAUAACUGAGAGAAAUCUUAGCUAAUACCGCAUAAUACCCACGGGUCAAAGCAGCAAUGCGCUUGGAGAGGAGUUCGCGGCAGAUUAGUUAGUUGGCGGGGUAAUGGCCCACCAAGACGAUGAUCUGUAUCCGGCCUGAGAGGGCGCACGGACACACUGGAACUGAAACACGGUCCAGACUCCUACGGGAGGCAGCAGUGAGGAAUUUUGCGCAAUGGGGGAAACCCUGACGCAGCAACGCCGCGUGGAGGAUGAAGCCCCUUGGGGUGUAAACUCCUUUCGAUCGGGAAGAUAAUGACGGUACCGAUAUAAGAAGCCCCGGCUAACUUCGUGCCAGCAGCCGC